UACGAAGGGGGCUAGCGUUGCUCGGAAUCACUGGGCGUAAAGGGUGCGUAGGCGGGUCUUUAAGUCAGGGGUGAAAUCCCGGAGCUCAACUCCAGAACUGCCUUUGAUACUGAGGAUCUUGAGUUCGGGAGAGGUGAGUGGAACUGCGAGUGUAGAGGUGAAAUUCGUAGAUAUCCGCAAGAACACCAGUGGCGAAGGCGGCUCACUGGCCCGAUACUGACGCUGAGGCACGAAAGCGUGGGGAGCAAACAGG
rnacentral:rRNA from 1 species